rnacentral:rRNA from 1 species
GACGAACGCUGGCGGCGUGCUUAACACAUGCAAGUCGAACGAGACGAUUGAAAGCUUGCUUUCGAAAGUCGAGUGGCAAACGGGUGAGUAACGCGUAGACAGCCUGCCUUUGAGAGGGGGACAACAGUUCGAAAGGACUGCUAAUACCGAAUGUUGUAUAUUUUCCACAUUGAAGAUAUAUUAAAGAUGGCCUCUAUUUAUAAGCUAUCGCUCAAAGAUGGGUCUGCGUCUGAUUAGCUAGUUGGUGGGGUAACGGCCUACCAAGGCGACGAUCAGUAGCCGGUCUGAGAGGAUGAACGGCCACAUUGGGACUGAGACACGGCCCAGACUCCUACGGGAGGCAGCAGUGGGGAAUCUUCCACAAUGGACGAAAGUCUGAUGGAGCAACGCCGCGUGAGUGAAGAAGGGUUUCGGCUCGUAAAGCUCUGUUGUCGGGGACGAAUGUGCAUUACUUGAAUAAAGUAGUGUAAUGACGGUACCUGACGAGGAAGCCACGGCUAACUACGUGCCAGCCGCCGCGGUAA